ACUGCUCCUAGAGGCACUGCAACUGUGUCUGCUGUGUCACUUGUGCAUCAGUAGGUGGCACGGAGGAGAGAGGCUAUGUCUAUGCUCAGUGUUCUGACAUGUAAGCAUCUGAAUGCCUAGUAGCCUAACACU